GGGUCGUACUAAUUACCGACAACAACCGACAACUACCGUCAACAACCGACAAUUACCGACAACAAGCAGACAAUUACCGACAACAAGCUCAGAAUUACCGACAACAAGCUCAGAAUUACCGACAACAAGCUGAAAAAUACCGACAACAAGCAAAUACAUACUUUCAUUGUAUUCUUAUAGUUAUUUGUAUGGAUGCAUGGCUGUUUUUGAGGAAACCCAAAUACAUGUACAUACAUGAAUUUGAUGUAAAUAAUUUAUAGCUUGUUUCUGUUCGUACUGUAGUACUAAAUUAAAAAUACUAUUAAACAUUUUAGACACAUUAUACAGUAUACACA